GGGGUCGUAGCUCAGUUGGUAGAGCGUCUCGUUCGCAAGGAAUUUCCAGGAAUUUGGCCUCA
rnacentral:tRNA from 1 species